rnacentral:rRNA from 1 species
CCUACGGGGGGCGGCAGUGGGGAAUUUUACACAAUGGGCGAAAGCCUGAUGUAGCAACGCCGCGUGGAGGAUGACGGAUUUAGGUCUGUAAACUCCUUUUAUAGGGGAAGAAAUUUGACGGUACCCUAUGAAUAAGCACCGGCUAACUCCGUGCCAGCAGCCGCGGUAAUACGGGGGGUGCAAGCGUUACUCGGAAUCACUGGGCGUAAAGGGAGCGUAGGCGUUCUAUUAAGUCUUGAGUGAAAGCCUGCAGCCUAACUGCAGAACUGCUCAGGAAACUGAUAGAAUUGAGUAUGGAAGAGGUCAGUGGAAUUUCCAGUGUAGGGGUAAAAUCCGUAGAUAUUGGAAGGAAUACCAGAAGCGAAGGCGACUGACUGGGACAUUACUGACGCUGAGGCUCGAAAGCGUGGGGAGCAAACAGGACUAGAUACCCUGGUAGUCCACGCCCUAAACGAUGAACACUAGUCGUUACGGAGCUAGUCUCUGUAGUGACGCAGCUAACGCAUUAAGUGUUCCGCCUGGGGAGUACGGUCGCAAGAUUAAAACUCAAAGGAAUAGACGGGGACCCGCACAAGCGGUGGAGCAUGUGGUUUAAUUCGAAGAUACGCGAAGAACCUUACCAAGGCUUGACAUGUUAGGAAUCUUGUAGAAAUAUGAGAGUGCUGGCUUGCCAGAACCUAAACACANGUGCUGCAUGGCCGUCGUCAGCUCGUGUCGUGAGAUGUUGGGUUAAGUCCCGCAACGAGCGCAACCCUCGUCACUAGUUGCCAGCGGUUCGGCCGGGAACUCUAGUGAGACUGCCUGCGUAAGCGGGAGGAAGGUGGGGAUGAUGUCAGGUCAUCACGGCCCUUAUGCCUUGGGCAACACACGUGCUACAAUGGGAUAUACAGAAAGUCGCAAUACCGCGAGGUGGAGCCAAUCUCUAAAAUAUCUCUCAGUUCGGAUUGUAGUCUGCAACUCGACUACAUGAAGUCGGAAUCGCUAGUAAUCGUAGAUCAGCUAUGCUACGGUGAAUACGUUCCCGGGUCUUGUACUCACCGCCCGUCACACCAUGGGAGUUGAUAUAGCCUUAAGUCAGGAUGCUAACCGCAAGGAGGCUACUGCCCACGGCUGUAUCAGCGACUGGGGUGAAGUCGUAACAAGGUAACC